ensembl:lncRNA
UCUUUAAUGGCUUCCUUUAAUUACAUGUCUUCAUAAAAACGCUACCGCUCUCGAACACAGCAUCCUUUUAUUCUUCAAGAGGAUCUAAUUUCUGAAACAACAGAAAUUAAGGCACUGAUGCUUUAUUUGGACAAAUUAACAGAAAAAAACCCACUCACACAGCUCUAGCAGAAAGUAUAGGAAUCGUGUUCUAUUACCUUGUCAUCUACCUUGAUAUUAUUAGGAAUACUUUCCAAGUCAGCCCAGUGGACUGCUGGGAUCAAUGUUACACUGACAGUGAAGUGGACUGGGAUGGGAUUUUGGCAGCAGCCCAAGGGAAGGUGAGAUGCCUUCCCUGCUGCUCCUGGCCUUGCCCCACAUGUCCUUGGCUCAGGUUCCGUGGCGGUUCCGUGGUCACCAGGGGCAGGAACCCCCUUCCCGUUGCCCCGCUCCAAGGAGUGCAGUAAUUCCGUGCACUCAGCAGCACCAAGGGGCAUUUUUAGGGUCAGGUAACCUUGCCCACUCUUGUGGAAAGCCUGAGGAGCUCCAGGAGGGAUUAAAAGAAGAGAUCUUCCUCCCCUGUUCAGCAGGUACAGCAAAAGGAUUUAUAACAAUUGGAAAUUCUCGAUGGCAGACUCCAUGGCUGUUAGAGGAGGAGCUUCAGGAUACAUGCACUACUUGAAAGUAUUUUCAGUGACUUCUUGAAAACUAUUGAGAUGUCAGUGGCUGGAAACAGGAUCCUGUGUUUGCAGAACACUUGGUGCUUGUCCUUGCUGGGAAGCUGUUGAAGUGUCGAGAGCCAGUGGGUGGGGUUUUUGACUCCUGUGUGAUGUUGGAAGGACACAGAGUAGCCUCAAGGUGCUGCUGUCCCUUUAAAACCCUCCUUUUGUCUGUUGACUCAGUGAUUUACAAUAAAACAUAAUUUUAUUUCUCUCAGCUAAUUACAAACUCCUCCCUUCCAAACUCCUGAUCUCUUCACACAGCCAAAGGCAUCAAUGGCAGAGCCGAGCCCGGAUUUGGGAGCUGGCAGUGCUGCACCACUAUUCCCGCAGCAGCCGGGUGCUUCUCCCUGUGCCUCUGGAGCCUGCCAUUGUGCUGGGAAGUGGAGCAGGUAACCACUUCAUCAGUCUGAGAUUCCAUUCUCGUGGAGCACGGAGGUUCAUUAUACUCACUUUAUCAGCAGUGCGCUUUACUGCCGAAUCCAUGAGAGAUAUUCAUGUGAAACAUGAGCAGAGAGAGAGGUAUUGCAUCUUUUCAUUAAUAAGCCCUCUUCUGGGAUCCGGCAUUAGUGAGAUUCAGCGGAUCAUAGAGCACAGGGGUAUCAUUUUUACAUGAUUACUCUAAAUUCUUAAACCAGAGGCUUAAGAGAGAGGCUUCUCACAAAGGCAGCUGUGGGAAUUGUUAAAUGAUUGGCACAGCACUCACGAUGGGCUGAACCACUCUGGGUACCUCCAGUUAUUGGGGGGGGGGGGGUACCAGCAGGCAUUUUAUUACCUGCCACCGAGGGAAAAGUAGAAAAGAGAGAGUGUAUCAGACAGAGGAAGACGUGCUAACCCUGCAAAAUAUCUCAGUAGUUUUGUCUCUCCUCCUGGAAAAAAAUUCUUGUGAUAAUCCUGAUGCAGUGUAUCAUCCCACUGCAUAGGCUGAGCCAUUCCCUUCCCUUCCCUUCCCUUCCCUUCCCUUCCCUUCCC